rnacentral:rRNA from 1 species
UACGAAGGGUGCAAGCGUUAUUCGGAGUAACUGGGCGUAAAGAGCGCGUAGGUGGUUUUAUAAGUCACAUGUUAAAUUCCACAGCUUAACUGUGGGUGAGCGUGCGAUACUGUAAAGCUAGAGGGUAAGAGAGAGAAGUGGAAUUCUCGGAGUAGCGGUAAAAUGCGUAGAUCUCGAGAGGAACACCGGUAGCGAAGGCGGCUUCUUGGCUUAUCCCUGACACUGAGGCGCGAAAGCGUGGGUAGCAAACAGG